AUACGGAGGGGGCUAGCGUUGUUCGGAAUUACUGGGCGUAAAGCGCGCGUAGGCGGCUUAUCAAGUUAGGCGUGAAAGGCCUGGGCUCAACCCGGGAACUGCGCUUAAUACUGGUAGACUUGAGUCCGGGAGAGGGUGGCGGAAUUCCCAGUGUAGAGGUGAAAUGCGUUGAUAUUGGGAAGAACACCGGUGGCGAAGGCGGCUACCUGGACCGGUACUGACGCUAAGGUGCGAAAGCGUGGGGAGCAAACAGGAUUAGAAACCCCAGUAGUCC
rnacentral:rRNA from 1 species